UACGUAGGGUGCGAGCGUUGUCCGGAAUUAUUGGGCGUAAAGAGCUCGUAGGCGGUGUGUCGCGUCGGUCGUGAAAACUUGGGGCUUAACCCUGAGCUUGCGGUCGAUACGGGCAUCACUGGAGUUCGGCAGGGGAGACUGGAAUUCCUGGUAUAGCGGUGAAAUGCGCAGAUAUCAGGAGGAACACCGGUGGCGAAGGCGGGUCUCUGGGCCGAUACUGACGCUGAGGAGCGAAAGCGUGGGGAGCGAACAGG
rnacentral:rRNA from 1 species